rnacentral:pre_miRNA from 1 species
UGGCAAGAUGGUGGCAUAGUUGUGAGGCAAAAUGGAUCCCAGCUGUGCUUCAUCAGGCCUGU